CCCAGUGGCACCAGUAUCAAUCCGCGCCCGACACAUCGUCCACGUUAGGGUUACUUCAGGAGUUUGGUCUCCACCCUGUUUGCGAGUAUUCCCGUGUUAGCGCCCCGACUGCCAAAAUGAGUGCGAUUCAGCAGGGAACUUUGCUAGAGGUGCUCAAGAAAAAGAUGAGGGCCAUGAAAGACGAACUGGAGACCGCCAAAGAGCAAGCAGACGACGCACAGUCUCGGGUUAUGGACGAAAUCCGGCGACGUGAAGAGGCCGAGGCGGAGGUGGCUGCGCACAACAGGCGCAUCCAGCUGCUCGAGGAGGACCUGGAACGCUCUGAGGAACGACUCAAGAUCGCCACCCAGAAACUGGAAGAGGCCUCGCAGGCCGCUGACGAGAGCGAACGCAUUCGCAAGGCACUGGAGAACCGCACCAACAUGGAGGACGACCGGAUCACGCUGCUCGAGAACCAGCUGGGACAGGCGAGGCUCAUCGCGGAGGAGUCCGACAAGAAAUACGAAGAGAUGGCCCGCCGCAUCGCACUCCUGGAGGCAGACCUGGAGAGGGCCGAGGAGAGGGCCGGCACGGGAGAAAGCAAAAUUGUGGAGCUUGAGGAGGAGCUGCGAGUGGUUGGCAACAACCUGAAGUCCCUGGAAGUCAGUGAGGAGAAGGCCCAACAGCGGGAGGAGUCGUACGCCGGUCAGAUUGGCUCGAUGACGGGCAAACUGAAGGAGGCCGAAGCGAGAGCCGAAUUUGCCGAGAGGUCGGUGCAGAAGCUCCAGAAGGAAGUGGACAGACUGGAAGACGACCUGCUUGCGGAGCGCGAGAAGAACCACAUGCUCCAGGAAGAGGUGGAGACGACCUUGAAGGACCUGCAGGCGAUGUGACCUGGCCCUUGUGCGACGCUCCUGCCUGCCUGCUGCUUUUCUUCCCUUUGCCAAGACGAGCUUGUCCAGGAGAAAGAGAAGUACAAAGCUAUCUCGGACGAACUGGACCAGACCUUCACAGAGCUCACCGGGUACUGAGCAGCCUCCCAGCGCCAUCCAGCCACCGUUUCUACCGCUACCAAGUCGUCUCUUCCUUCUUCCUCCUCGCCGUUUUUUGGGGUAGCCUUCUAGUACUGGACGAAGGGGAGACGGGGACGAGCAAAGGGUCUGCCGCCGCAGCCGUAAAAAAGAAAAAUAAAGACGGCAAUGAGGUUCGCGGGA
rnacentral:misc_RNA from 1 species